rnacentral:rRNA from 1 species
UACGUAGGGUGCGAGCGUUGUCCGGAAUUAUUGGGCGUAAAGGGCUCGUAGGCGGUUUGUCGCGUCGGGAGUGAAAACAUCCAGCUUAACUGGGUGCUUGCUUUCGAUACGGGCAGACUUGAGGUAUGCAGGGGAGAAUGGAAUUCCUGGUGUAGCGGUGAAAUGCGCAGAUAUCAGGAGGAACACCGGUGGCGAAGGCGGUUCUCUGGGCAUUACCUGACGCUGAGGAGCGAAAGUGUGGGGAGCGAACAGG